rnacentral:rRNA from 2 species
GAGAAAAGAAACCAACAGGGAUUGCCCCAGUAACGGCGAGUGAAGCGGCAACAGCUCAAAUUUGAAAUCUGGUCCCCAGGGCCCGAGUUGUAAUUUGUAGAGGAUGCUUUUGGCGCGGUGCCUUCCGAGUUCCCUGGAACGGGACGCCAUAGAGGGUGAGAGCCCCGUCUGGUCGGAUACCUAGCCUCUGUAAAGCUCCUUCGACGAGUCGAGUAGUUUGGGAAUGCUGCUCAAAAUGGGAGGUAUAUGUCUUCUAAAGCUAAAUAUUGGCCAGAGACCGAUAGCGCACAAGUAGAGUGAUCGAAAGAUGAAAAGCACUUUGAAAAGAGGGUUAAAAAGUACGUGAAAUUGUUGAAAGGGAAGCGCCUAUGACCAGACUUGGGCCCGGUGAAUCAUCCAGCGUUCUCGCUGGUGCACUUUGCCGGGCACAGGCCAGCAUCAGUUUGGCGCGGGGGAUAAAGGCUUUGGGAAUGUGGCUCCCUCGGGAGUGUUAUAGCCCAUUGUGUAAUACCCUGCGCCGGACUGAGGUACGCGCAUUGCAAGGAUGCUGGCGUAAUGGUCAUCAGCGACCCGUCUUGAAACACGGACCAAGGAGUCGUCUUCGUAUGCGAGUGUUCGGGUGUUAAACCCCUACGCGUAAUGAAAGUGAACGCAGGUGAGAGCUUCGGCGCAUCAUCGACCGAUCCUGAUGUUCUCGGAUGGAUUUGAGUAAGAGCAUACGGGGCCGGACCCGAAAGAAGGUGAACUAUGCCUGUAUAGGGUGAAGCCAGAGGAAACUCUGGUGGAGGCUCGCAGCGGUUCUGACGUGCGAAUCGAUCGUCAAAUAUGGGCAUGGGGGCGAAAGACUAAUCGA